GAAUUUUGGACAAUGGGGGCAACCCUGAUCCAGCCAUCCCGCGUGUGCGAUGAAGGCCUUCGGGUUGUAAAGCACUUUUGGCAGGGAAGAAAAGGCUCUGGCUAAUACCUGGAGCUGCUGACGGUACCUGCAGAAUAAGCACCGGCUAACUACGUGCCAGCAGCCGCGGUAAUACGUAGGGUGCAAGCGUGAAUCGGAAUUACUGGGCGUAAAGCUUGCGCACGAGGGUUGGGAAGAAGGAUGUUAAAUCCCAGGGCUUAACCUUGGAAUUGGUUUAUUAACUGCCAGGCUAAGGGAUGUCAGAGGGGGGUAGAAUUCCACGUGUAGCAGUGAAAUGCGUAGAGAUGUGGAGGAAUACCGAUGGCGAAGGCAGCCCCCUGGGAUAAUACUGACGCUCAUGCACGAAAGCGUGGGGAGCAAACA
rnacentral:rRNA from 1 species